AGCUCCAAUAGCGUAUAUUAAAGUUGUUGCAGUUAAAAAGCUCGUAGUUGAAAUUCUGACCGUAUUGGGCCCACGCACUCGAUGCGAAGGUACCAGCGGUCAUCCGCUUGCAAAAACAGGACCUUCCUUAACCGGUAGGCUGUCUGAGCAGGCAUUUUACCUUGAGAAAAACAGAGUGUUCCAGGCAGGUUUGUCCGGAAUGCAUUAGCAUGGAAUAAUAGAAUAUGACUGAAGUCGAUUUAUUGGUUUAAGGCUUUAGUAAUGAUUAAUAGGAACAGUCGGGGGCAUUAGUACUUAUCAGCUAGAGGUGAAAUUCAAGGAUUUGAUAAAGACUAACUGAUGCGAAAGCGUUUGCCAAGGAUGUUUUCA
rnacentral:rRNA from 1 species